rnacentral:rRNA from 1 species
CCUACGGGGGGCAGCAGUGGGGAAUAUUGGGCAAUGGGCGCAAGUCUGACCCAGCAACGCCGCGUGAAGGAAGAAGGCUUUCGGGUUGUAAACUUCUUUUCUGAGGGACGAAGAAAGUGACGGUACCUCAGGAAUAAGCCACGGCUAACUACGUGCCAGCAGCCGCGGUAAUACGUAGGGGGCAAGCGUUAUCCGGAUUUACUGGGUGUAAAGGGGGAGUAGGCGGGAAAGCAAGUCAGAUGUGAAAACUCAGGGCUCAACCCUGAGCCUGCAUUGGAAACUGUUUGUCUAGAGUGCUGGAGAGGCAAUCGGAAUUCCGUGUGUAGCGGUGAAAUGCGUAGAUAUAAGGAGGAACACCAGUGGCGAAGGCGGAUUGCUGGACAGUAACUGACGCUGAGGCGCGAAAGCGUGGGGAGCAAACAGGAUUAGAUACCCCUGUAGUC